CUAAGAAUAUUCCGCAAUGGACGGAAGUCUGACGGAGCGACGCCGCGUGGAUGACGAAGGCCGAAAGGUUGUAAAGUUCUUUUGCUGGGGAAGAAUAACCGCAGGAGGGAAUGCCUGUGGGAUGACAAGAACCGGCGAAUAAGCCCCGGCCAACUACGUGCCAGCAGCCGCGGUAACACGUAGGGGGGCCGAGCGUUGUUCGGAAUUACUGGGCGUAAAGGGCAUGUAGGCGGCUUGGAAAGCCUGGCGUGAAAGUCUGCAGCUUAACUGCAGGGGUGCGCUGGGAACUGCUGAGCUUGAGUGACGGAGAGGGAGCUGGAAUUCCUGGUGUAGGGGUGAAAUCUGUAGAUAUCAGGAAGAACACCGAUGGCGAAGGCAAGCUCCUGGCCGAUGACUGACGCUGAGGUGCGAAAGUGUGGGGGAUCAAACAGGAUUAGAUACCCUGGUAGUCCACACAGUCAACGAUGUGCACUAGGUGCUGGGGCGGUAGCUUCGGUGCCGGAGCGAACGUGGUAAGUGCACCGCCUGGGGAGUAUGCUCGCAAGGGUGAAACUCAAAGGAAUUGACGGGGGUCAUAGCUG
rnacentral:rRNA from 1 species